GACAGGGGGUGCAAACGUUGUUCGGAAUUACUGGGCGUAAAGCGUGUGUAGGCGGCUACGUAAGUCGGAUGUGAAAGCCCCAGGCUCAACCUGGGAAGUGCACUCGAUACUGCGUAGCUUGAGUAUCGGAGAGGUUGGUGGAAUUCUCGGUGUAGAGGUGAAAUUCGUAGAUAUCGAGAGGAACACCGGUGGCGAAGGCGGCCAACUGGACGAAUACUGACGCUGAGACACGAAAGCGUGGGGAGCAAACAGG
rnacentral:rRNA from 1 species